AUACGUAGGGUGCGAGCGUUGUCCGGAAUUACUGGGCGUGAAGAGCUCGUAGGUGGUUUGUCGCGUCGUCUGUGAAAUUCCGGGGCUUAACUCCGGGCGUGCAGGCGAUACGGGCAUAACUUGAGUACUGUAGGGGAGACUGGAAUUCCUGGUGUAGCGGUGAAAUGCGCAGAUAUCAGGAGGAACACCGGUGGCGAAGGCGGGUCGCUGGGGAGUAACGGACGCUGAGGAGCGAAAGCAUGGGGAGCGAACAGGAUUAGAUACCCUGGUAGUCCAUGCCGUAAACGGUGGGCGCUAGGGGUAGGGGUCUUCCACGACUUCUGUGCCGUAGCUAACGCAUUAAGCGCCCCGCCUGGGGAGUACGGCCGCAAGGCUAAAACUCAAAUGAAUUGACGGGG
rnacentral:rRNA from 1 species